rnacentral:rRNA from 1 species
GGAAUAUUGGACAAUGGGGGGAACCCUGAUCCAGCCAUGCCGCGUGUGUGAAGAAGGCCUUUUGGUUGUAAAGCACUUUAAGCGAGGAGGAGGCUCUUCUAGUUAAUACCUAGGAUGAGUGGACGUUACUCGCAGAAUAAGCACCGGCUAACUCUGUGCCAGCAGCCGCGGUAAUACAGAGGGUGCAAGCGUUAAUCGGAUUUACUGGGCGUAAAGGGUACGUAGGUGGUCUAUUAAGUCGGAUGUGAAAUCCCUGAGCUUAACUUAGGAAUUGCAUUCGAUACUGAGAGACUAGAGUAUGGGAGAGGAUGGUAGAAUUCCAGGUGUAGCGGUGAAAUGCGUAGAGAUCUGGAGGAAUACCGAUGGCGAAGGCAGCCAUCUGGCCUAAUACUGACACUGAGGUACGAAAGCAUGGGGAGCAAACAGGAUUAGAUACCCGAG